GUAGGGAAUAUUGGGCAAUGGAUGCAAGUCUGACCCAGCCAUCCCGCGUGCCGGAAGAAGGCCCUCAGGGUUGUAAACGGCUUUUGACGGUGAAGAAUCGACAGGAUGCGUCCUGUUUUGACGGUAGCCGUUGAAUAAGCACCGGCUAACUCCGUGCCAGCAGCCGCGGUAAUACGGAGGGUGCGAGCGUUGUCCGGAUUUAUUGGGUUUAAAGGGUGCGUAGGCUGGAAGGUCAGUCAGCGGUGAAAAGCUGUCGCUUAACGAUAGUCUUGCCGCAGAUACUUCCUUUCGUGGAUGAGGAGGAGGCCACUGGAACGGAUGGUGUAGCGGUGAAAUGCAUAGAUAUCAUCCAGAACACCGAUUGCGAAGGCAGGUGGCUGUACCUUAAUCGACGCUGAUGCACGAAAGCAUGGGGAGCAAACAGGAUUAGAAACCCGUGUAGUCC
rnacentral:rRNA from 1 species